rnacentral:rRNA from 1 species
AAAUUUGUUGGUUUUUAGGAUGGGGUAAGGUUAAUAGGGAUAGUUGGGGCAGUAGUAGUCAAUGUCAGAGAGAAGUCUCGGGUUAGUCGAGAAUAACGACUGCGAAAGCGUUUGCCAAGGAUGUUUUCGUUAAUCAAGAACGAAAGUUAGGGGAUGGAAGACGAUCAGAUACCGUCGUAGUCUUAACCAUAAACUAUGCCGACUAGGGAUCGGGGGAUGUUAAUUUUUUAAUAACUCGGUCGGCGCCUUACCGGAAACCAAAGUGUUUAAGUUCCGGGGAGAGUACAGUCCCAAGGCUGAAACUUAAAGGAAUUGACGGAAGGGCACCACCACGGGUGGAGCCUGCGGCUUAAUUUGACCCAACACGGGGAAACUCACCAGGUCCAGACAUAGUAAGGAUUGACAGAUUCAGAGCUCUUUCUCGAUUCUAUUGGUGGUGGUGCAUGGCCGUUCUUAGUAAGUGGAGUGAUUUAUCUGAUUAAUUCCGUUAACGAACGAGACCUUAACCUGCUAAAUAGCUAGGCUUAACUUCGUUUAGGUCGUCAGCUUCUUAGAGGGACAAUCGGUGUUUAACCGAUGGAAGUUUGAGGCAAUAACAGGUCUGUGAUGCCCUUAGAUGUUCUGGGCCACACGCGCGCUACACCGAUGAAGUCAUGGAGUUCAUUUCCUUUAUCGGAAGAUAUGGGUAAUAUUUAGAAACUUCAUCGUGCGGGGCAUAGAGCCAUGCUAUA